rnacentral:rRNA from 1 species
AGAGUUUGAUCAUGGCUCAGAACGAACGCUGGCGGCAGGCCUAACACAUGCAAGUCGAGCGCGCCUUUCGGGGUGAGCGGCGGACGGGUUAGUAACGCGUGGGAAUAUGCCCUUUGGUACGGAAUAGCCUCUGGAAACGGAGAGUAAUACCGUAUGAGCCCUUCGGGGGAAAGAUUUAUCGCCAAAGGAUUAGCCCGCGUUAGAUUAGGUAGUUGGUGGGGUAAUGGCCUACCAAGCCUACGAUCUAUAGCUGGUUUUAGAGGAUGAUCAGCAACACUGGGACUGAGACACGGCCCAGACUCCUACGGGAGGCAGCAGUGGGGAAUCUUGGACAAUGGGGGCAACCCUGAUCCAGCCAUGCCGCGUGAGUGAUGAAGGCCUUAGGGUCAUAAAGCUCUUUCGCCUGUGAAGAUAAUGACGGUAGCAGGUAAAGAAACCCCGGCUAACUCCGUGCCAGCAGCCGCGGUAAUACGGAGGGGGUUAGCGUUGUUCGGAAUUACUGGGCGUAAAGCGCACGUAGGCGGAUCGGAAAGUUGGGGGUGAAAUCCCGGGGCUCAACCCCGGAACUGCCU